GCACUCUGUACAAGAUUUUAGAUACCAAUGCCUGCUAUGCCGAUAGAAAAGUUCUUCGACAUCUCAACCACUUUUUUUCUUUUUAAGUAGAAAAAGCAUUAAGGGGCAACGUAAAUAAUUAGGAUAAGACAAUUUCUUAACUAUUUGUUAUUUUAGUUUUUUGGGUUUUGAAGUGGUACUUAAUUCUUUAGUUCUUAGUUGUAAGUUGUCCGAUUAUAUUGAGAUUUAUUGUGUAUAUUAAUUCUCUACUACGUGUUACUGCAUUGAUUUUUCUCUCUAAAGAACUACAAGGAAUAGAUGUUUGUUAUCAAAAUAAAUUUUAUCUAUGUUGAAGUUGCAUUAUUAGGAGAUCAUGGGUGGAAUAAGAAAGUUGAAUUUUAUCUUAUAUGGAAACAUUAAAGAUGUUUUAAGUUGUUAAAUGAUGCGCAUUGGUUAACCUUAUUUGUUAUUAACAUGCAGAUUAAAAAGCUUUUAUGUGGAGCUUGAGGACGUCUUUUUUAACGUUACCCUUCCUUCUCAGAAUUUACAGUCCAGUCAGUAAUUAUGCAAAUUUUGUGGAUAAUGGGCAUACUUUCAUACUUUGCUUGGUUCCUGGCAACACGCAAAGGUGCGAUGCGAAAUUAGGUAUGUUAUCUGGUUACGAUGUCUGGGCAUAUUGAAAAACUCAACACUAAGAAAUUCUUUUACUCUCUUCAAGAAAGACUCGAAAGGGUUCACUUAGAUGGUUUUAGAGAAUACAAUCUUCAACUAGUCUUUUCACCAUACAAAACAAGUUAUGAAUUAGAUGAAGUCUAAGCAAAGCUUACUGUUUACAUUCCUUCCGCAUCAGAGAAAAGCUUUGAGGACUACUACAUGAAUACUACAUAUGCUCUAGAGGGCCGAAUGUAACUGUAAAAGACAGACCUAUGGGCAGAGAAGAAAUGAAGACCAAAGUCUUACUAAUGGGAUUCAAAAAUGUUAAAUAUUGUAUCUACUGAAAGUAAUCUAGGAUGUAUGUACAGGUGAAGACAGUUGUGUUUCUUUUUGCUGAAUAUUUUUGUUGAUUUCGUUUCAAGGUGUGAAAAUUUAGGUGCCGUUUGGCCAUAAAAAUUAU